CAACCUGCAAAAUCUAAACAUCUUCUUUCAAUUAGAGUCACAUCUUUUCUCAAAAUCUGGCAAAUUCCGACCAAAUCAUGACAUUGUACACCAGGCUAGCAGUUCUGUUAGUGUGCACGACAUUGGUGUUUGGAAUGUCAAGAAGAAAAGAUGAAGAAGUCAGCAAAGAAUGUAAUGAUCUUCUUCAAAAACCUGAAAUUGAUGAUGAUAAGAUGACAAGGGAAGAACUGGUAUGUAUCUACUGGUCAUCUGGUGGAUCACAAAAGGAUGCUGAACAAUAGGCCGAUCAAUCUAUUCAAGAAGGAGACGAGAAUGGCAAUGGGGUGAUUGAUGGUGACGAAAAAAUCUAAGUUACUUGACUAAAACCAGUGAAAAUCAGUAUGUGCAUUGAGGAACGCUGACACCAUGAAAGAAAAAUGUUUUGUUUUUAAUCAGCAUGAUUUGACUGCUGUAACAUUGCUAUGUAUUACAUUCAACAAUAAACGUUUUAAAAUCCC